GCACCGGUGGUGUAUGGUACACACAAUCACCUCAUAUGUGGUCCAUCCAAUUUGGACAUGAUUGAGUCCCGGGUUCGAUUCCUCGCCGGUGCA